AGCGAACGCUGGCGGCGUACUUAACACAUGCAAGUCGAACGGGGAUCGUCGGGUUAGCAAUAAUUCGGCGGUUCUAGUGGCGCACGGGUGAGUAACACGUGGGUAACCUGCCCUUGAGUUCGGGAUACCCCCUCGAAAGGGGGGCGUAUACCGGGUACGUUCCUCGGAUCGACAGGUCUGGGGAGGAAAGGUGGCGCAAGCUGCCGCUCAUGGAGGGGCUCGCGGCCUAUCAGCUAGUUGGCGGGGUAACGGCCCACCAAGGCUAUGACGGGUAGCUGGUCUGAGAGGACGACCAGUCACACGGGGACUGAGACACGGCCCGACCUCCUACGGGAGGCAGCAGUGGGGAAUUUUCCGCAAUGGGCGAAAGCCUGACGGAGUGACGCCGCGUGUGGGACGAAGGCCUUCGGUCGUAACC
rnacentral:rRNA from 1 species